AGUCAAGUAAUUAAGUGCAUGUGGUGGAUGCCUUGGCAGUCAGAGGCGAUGAAAGACGUGAUAGCCUGCGAAAAGCUCCGGGGAGGCGGCAAAUAUCCUUUGAUCCGGAGAUGUCUGAAUGGGGGAACCCACCUACUUUAAGGUAGGUAUUGCAACAUGAAUACAUAGUGUUGCAAGGCGAACGAGGUGAAGUGAAACAUCUCAGUACCCUUAGGAAAAGAAAUCAAUUGAGAUUCCCUCAGUAGCGGCGAGCGAACGGGGAUCAGCCCAUUAAGUUAUGUGUGUUUUAGUGGAACGCUCUGGGAAGUGCGAACGUAGAGGGUGAUAUUCCCGUACACGAAAGGGCACACAUAAUGAUGACGAGUAGGGCGAGGCACGUGAAACCUUGUCUGAAUAUGGGGGGACCAUCCUCCAAGGCUAAAUACUCCUGACUGACCGAUAGUGAACCAGUACCGUGAGGGAAAGGCGAAAAGAACCCCUGUGAGGGGAGUGAAAUAGAUCCUGAAACCGCAUGCAUACAAGCAGUGGGAGCACCUUCGUGGUGUGACUGCGUACCUUUGUAUAAUGGGUCAGCGACUUAUAUUCAGUAGCAAGGUUAACCGUAUAGGGGAGCCGUAGAGAAAUCGAGUCUUAAUAGGGCGUUUAGUUGCUGGGUAUAGACCCGAAACCAGGCGAUCUAUCCAUGAGCAGGUUGAAGGUUGGGUAACACUAACUGGAGGACCGAACCCACUGUCGUUGAAAAGCCAGGGGAUGACUUGUGGAUAGGGGUGAAAGGCUAAUCAAGCCUGGUGAUAGCUGGUUCUCCCCGAAAGCUAUUUAGGUAGCGCCUCGGACGAAUACCAUAGGGGGUAGAGCACUGUUUCGGCUAGGGGGUCAUCCCGACUUACCAAACCGAUGCAAACUCCGAAUACCUAUGAGUACUAUCCGGGAGACAGACUGCGGGUGCUAACGUCCGUAGUCAAGAGGAAAACAAUCCAGACCGCCAGCUAAGGCCCCAAAAUCAUAGUUAAGUGGGAAACGAUGUGGGAAGGCAUAGACAGCUAGGAGGUUGGCUUAGAAGCAGCCACCCUUUAAAGAAAGCGUAAUAGCUCACUAGUCGAGUCGGCCUGCGCGGAAGAUGUAACGGGGCUAAAACUAUGUGCCGAAGCUGCGGAUGUAUACUUUGUAUACGUGGUAGGGGAGCGUUCUGUAAGCCGAUGAAGGUGUGUUGAGAAGCAUGCUGGAGGUAUCAGAAGUGCGAAUGCUGACGUGAGUAACGACAAAACGGGUGAAAAACCCGUUCGCCGAAAGACCAAGGGUUCCAGUCCAACGUUAAUCGGGGCUGGGUGAGUCGACCCCUAAGGCGAGGCCGAAAGGCGUAGUCGAUGGGAAAAUGGUUAAUAUUCCAUUACUUCUGUGUAAUGCGAUGAGAGGACGGAGAAGGCUAAAUCAGCCUGGCGUUGGUUGUCCAGGUGAAAGGAUGUAGGCAUGUAUCUUAGGCAAAUCCGGGGUACUCUAUGCUGAGAUCUGAUAGCAAGCUGUACUUGUACAGCGAAGUGGUUGAUGCCAUGCUUCCAGGAAAAGUCUCUAAGCUUCAGUUACACAGGAAUCGUACCCGAAACCGACACAGGUGGUCAGGUCGAGUAGACCAAGGCGCUUGAGAGAACUCUGCUGAAGGAACUAGGCAAAAUGGUACCGUAACUUCGGGAGAAGGUACGCUGUUGUUGGUGAUGGAACUCGCUUCCUGAGCUGACGACAGCCGCAGAAACCAGGCCGCUGCAACUGUUUAUUAAAAACAUAGCACUCUGCAAACACGAAAGUGGACGUAUAGGGUGUGAUGCCUGCCCGGUGCUGGAAGGUUAAUUGAUGGGGUUAGCGUAAGCGAAGCUCUUGAUCGAAGCCCCAGUAAACGGCGGCCGUAACUAUAACGGUCCUAAGGUAGCGAAAUUCCUUGUCGGGUAAGUUCCGACCUGCACGAAUGGCAUAAUGAUGGCGGCGCUGUCUCCAGCAGAGGCUCAGUGAAAUCGAAAUCGCUGUGAAGAUGCAGUGUACCCGCGGCUAGACGGAAAGACCCCGUGAACCUUUACUGCAGCUUGACACUGAACUUUGACCUUACUUGUGUAGGAUAGGUGGGAGGCUUUGAAGCUGGAACGCUAGUUCCAGUGGAGCCGUCCUUGAAAUACCACCCUGGUAAUGUUGAGGUUCUAACUCUGUCCCGUGAUCCGGGACGAGGACCGUGUCUGGUGGGUAGUUUGACUGGGGCGGUCUCCUCCUAAAGAGUAACGGAGGAGUACGAAGGUGCGCUCAGCGUGGUCGGAAAUCACGCGUAGAGUAUAAAGGCAAAAGCGCGCUUAACUGCGAGACCCACAAGUCGAGCAGGUACGAAAGUAGGUCUUAGUGAUCCGGUGGUUCUGUAUGGAAGGGCCAUCGCUCAACGGAUAAAAGGUACUCUGGGGAUAACAGGCUGAUACCGCCCAAGAGUUCAUAUCGACGGCGGUGUUUGGCACCUCGAUGUCGGCUCAUCUCAUCCUGGGGCUGAAGCAGGUCCCAAGGGUAUGGCUGUUCGCCAUUUAAAGAGGUACGCGAGCUGGGUUUAGAACGUCGUGAGACAGUUCGGUCCCUAUCUACCGUGGGCGCUGGAAAUUUGAGAGGAUCUGCUCCUAGUACGAGAGGACCAGAGUGGACGAACCUCUGGUGUACCGGUUGUGACGCCAGUCGCAUCGCCGGGUAGCUAUGUUCGGAAGGGAUAACCGCUGAAAGCAUCUAAGCGGGAAGCCUACCUCAAGAUAAGAUUUCCCUAGGACUUUAUGUCCUCUAAAGAGCCGUUCGAGACUAGGACGUUGAUAGGUUGGAUGUGGAAGCAUAGUGAUAUGUGAAGCUGACCAAUACUAAUUGCUCGUGAGGCUUGACUAU
rnacentral:rRNA from 1 species